rnacentral:rRNA from 1 species
UACGGGGGGAGCAAGCGUUGUUCGGAUUUACUGGGCGUAAAGGGCGCGUAGGCGGUCAGCACAAGUCAGUUGUGAAAUCUCCGGGCUUAACUCGGAAAGGUCAACUGAUACUGUGCGACUAGAGUGCAGAAGGGGCAACUGGAAUUCCCGGUGUAGUGGUGAAAUGCGUAGAUAUCGGGAGGAACACCAGUGGCGAAGGCGACUACCUGGCCCACUCUUGACGCUGAGGCGCGAAAGCUAGGGGAGCAAACGGG